UGGGGAAUAUUGGGCAAUGGGGGCAACCCUGACCCAGCGACGCCGCGUGGGGGAAGACGGCCUUCGGGUUGUAAACCUCUUUUGUACGGGAAGAAGGAAGUGACGGUACUGUACGAAUAAGUCCCGGCUAACUACGUGCCAGCAGCCGCGGUAAUACGUAGGGGACGAGCGUUGUCCGGAAUUACUGGGCGUAAAGGGCGCGCAGGCUGUGCUGCAAGUCAGCUGUUAAAUGUCUGGGCUUAACCCGGGCAUGCGGUUGAGACUGCGGUGCUGGAGUGCUGUAGAGGCGAGUGGGAUACCCAGUGUAGCGGUGAAAUGCGUAGAUAUUGGGAGAGACACCGGUGGCGAAGGCGACUUGCUGGG
rnacentral:rRNA from 1 species